GACAGUCGCCCAUGUCAAUCACGACGAUUUCAUCUCCGGAAGCCAUAAAUAGUAGCCGUGACAGAUGAAGUUCGGCCGAGAGAACGCCUUCCGACGUGGCUAAUGAUCAGCCGAAUCAAGUCGCUUGGACGUCCAGAACCGCUCGACCGCGUCUUCAGAGAAUUGUAGAGUGUUUUCCCUUUCGCUGAUGCACUUGAAGUGAAUUAGGGGUGCUUAGUGCUUACAGAGGAAUACAGGGUGGUUCUGCUUGAACUAUUUGUGAUAAUUUACCCUUUUGCGUCCUUAAUGUCAUUGGAGUUAAGUUUAGGUUCUCGAUUCCAUCUGUUUCUGUCAAUGCAAGAACACAAGUUUCAUGCUCCCCCGAAGCCAGAUUCGACACCGGUUCCUAGCAAAAGGGUAACUCUUGAAUCUUGAGUACUUCAGUUUAAGGAUGACAUGGCUUCCAUUCCGAUCACUAGCCGAUGUUAACCUUCCAUCUAAAGUGAAUUGUUCUGUCAUUCAA